ACAUUUAUCUGGCAGGGGAGAUACCUUUAUCACAAAGGAGGUUUUCCCACGGUGAGGCUCAUCCAUUGCACUCCAGGUGUGCUGACCCCUGCGAUUUCCCCAAAUGCAGGAACCUCGACUGCAUAAUUGGUAGCAAAAUAAAUUUAACCUCUUUGG